UGCUAUGGCCAUGCCACCCUGAACAAGCCCGAUCCCAUCUGAUCUCAGAAGCUAAAACAGGGUUGGGCCUGGUUAGUACUUGGAUGGGAGAACACCUAGGAAGACCAGGUGCUGUAGGUG
rnacentral:rRNA from 1 species